rnacentral:rRNA from 1 species
UUGAUCCUGGCUCAGGAUGAACGCUGGCGGUAUGCUUAACACAUGCAAGUCGAACGGUCUUUUAGGAGACAGUGGCGGACGGGUGAGUAACGCGUAAGAAUCUACCUUCAGGUUGGGGACAACCACUGGAAACGGUGGCUAAUACCGAAUGUGCCGAGAGGUGAAAGGCUUGCUGCCUGAAGAAGAGCUUGCGUCUGAUUAGCUAGUUGGUAGUGUAAGAGACUACCAAGGCGACGAUCAGUAGCUGGUCUGAGAGGAUGAUCAGCCACACUGGGACUGAGACACGGCCCAGACUCCUACGGGAGGCAGCAGUGGGGAAUUUUCCGCAAUGGGCGAAAGCCUGACGGAGCAAUACCGCGUGAGGGAGGAAGGCUCUUGGGUUGUAAACCUCUUUUCUCAGGGAAGAACAGAAUGACGGUACCUGAGGAAUAAGCAUCGGCUAACUCCGUGCCAGCAGCCGCGGUAAUACGGAGGAUGCAAGCGUUAUCCGGAAUGAUUGGGCGUAAAGGGUCCGCAGGUGGCAUUGUAAGUCUGCUGUUAAAGAGUUUGGCUCAACCAAAUAAGAGCAGUGGAAACUACAAAGCUAGAGUGUGGUCGGGGCAGAGGGAAUUCCUGGUGUAGCGGUGAAAUGCGUAGAUAUCAGGAAGAACACCAGUGGCGAAGGCGCUCUGCUAGGCCGAGACUGACACUGAGGGACGAAAGCUAGGGGAGCGAAUGGGAUUAGAUACCCCAGUAGUCCUAGCCGUAAACGAUGGAUACUAGGCGUAGCUCGUAUCGACCCGAGCUGUGCCGGAGCUAACGCGUUAAGUAUCCCGCCUGGGGAGUACGCAGGCAACUGUGAAACUCAAAGGAAUUGACGGGGGCCCGCACAAGCGGUGGAGUAUGUGGUUUAAUUCGAUGCAACGCGAAGAACCUUACCAAGGCUUGACAUGUCACGAAUCCUAUUGAAAGAUGGGAGUGCCUUCGGGAGCGUGAACACAGGUGGUGCAUGGCUGUCGUCAGCUCGUGUCGUGAGAUGUUGGGUUAAGUCCCGCAACGAGCGCAACCCUCGUUUUUAGUUGCCAGCAUUAAGAUGGGCACUCUAGAGAGACUGCCGGUGACAAACCGGAGGAAGGUGGGGAUGACGUCAAGUCAGCAUGCCCCUUACGUCUUGGGCUACACACGUACUACAAUGCUCCGGACAAAGGGCAGCUACACAGCGAUGUGAUGCGAAUCUCAUAAACCGGAGCUCAGUUCAGAUCGAAGGCUGCAACUCGCCUUCGUGAAGGAGGAAUCGCUAGUAAUUGCAGGUCAGCAUACUGCAGUGAAUUCGUUCCCGGGCCUUGUACACACCGCCCGUCACACCAUGGAAGUUGGUCACGCCCGAAGUCGUUACCCCAACCUAUUGGAGGGGGAUGCCUAAGGUAGGACUGAUGACUGGGGUGAAGUCGUAACAAGGGUAGCCGUACCGGAAGGUGUGGCUGGAUCACCUCCUUU